UACAGAGGUCUCAAGCGUUGUUCGGAUUCAUUGGGCGUAAAGGGUGUGUAGGUGGCGCCGUAAGUCGGGUGUGAAAUUUUCGGGAGCUUAACUCCGAAACUGCAUUCGAUACUGCGGUGCUUGAGGACUGGAGAGGAGACUGGAAUUCAUGGUGUAGCAGUGAAAUGCGUAGAGAUCAUGAGGAAGACCAGUGGCGAAGGCGGGUCUCUGGACAGUUCCUGACACUGAGACACGAAGGCCAGGGGAGCAAACGGG
rnacentral:rRNA from 1 species